rnacentral:rRNA from 1 species
AUUGAACGCUGGCGGCAGGCCUAACACAUGCCAGUCGAACGGUAACAGGAAACAGCUUGCUGUUUCGCUGACGAGUGGCGGACGGGUGAGUAAUGCCUGGGAAACUGCCUGAUGGAGGGGGAUAACUACUGGAAACGGUAGCUAAUACCGCAUAACGUCGCAAGACCAAAGAGGGGGACCUUCGGGCCUCUUGCCAUCGGAUGUGCCCAGAUGGGAUUAGCUAGUAGGUGGGGUAACGGCUCACCUAGGCGACGAUCCCUAGCUGGUCUGAGAGGAUGACAAGCCACACUGGAACUGAGACACGGUCCAGACUCCUACGGGAGGCAGCAGUGGGGAAUAUUGCACAAUGGGCGCAAGCCUGAUGCAGCCAUGCCGCGUGUAUGAAGAAGGCCUUCGGGUUGUAAAGUACUUUCAGCGGGGAUGAAGGGAGUAAAGUUAAUACCUUUGCUCAUUGACGUUACCCGCAGAAGAAGCACCGGCUAACUCCGU